AGGCGUUUGCCCUUGUUCUUGCUGUCUUCUCCUUCGUUGCCGUGGCCGGUGGCCUUGUUAGGCAGUAGUGGUUGCUUGUCGUGAGUGGUAAGUAAUAAGCUUGGCUCGUCGUCGUCGGACUGAUGUGCUCAUUUUUGGCGCUGUGGUGAUUAGUAUCAAACGAUGUGAGAAACGUUGCCAUGUUUACUUCACAUUUGAUUGUUUGUUGUUUGCAUGUUUCCUCAUGUCGCCAGUGACAUGGUAAUGUUAGAGUCUAAACUUUUGGUUGAGCCAUUAUAAAGAUUCAGUGUGUUGUGAUCACUGGCUCUACAAAUCAUUCGAUGUU
rnacentral:lncRNA from 1 species